rnacentral:rRNA from 1 species
AGUAAUGUAUCGGAACGUGCCCAGUAGCGGGGGAUAACUACGCGAAAGCGUAGCUAAUACCGCAUACGCCCUACGGGGGAAAGGGGGGGAUCGCAAGACCUCUCACUAUUGGAGCGGCCGAUAUCGGAUUAGCUAGUUGGUGGGGUAAAGGCCUACCAAGGCGACGAUCCGUAGCUGGUUUGAGAGGACGACCAGCCACACUGGGACUGAGACACGGCCCARACUCCUACGGGAGGCAGCAGUGGGGAAUUUUGGACAAUGGGGGGAACCCUGAUCCAGCCAUCCCGCGUGUGCGAUGAAGGCCUUCGGGUUGUAAAGCACUUUUGUCAGGGAAGAAAAGCGCAGAGUUAAUACCUUUGCGUGAUGACGGUACCUGAAGAAUAAGCACCGGCUAACUACGUGCCAGCAGCCGCGGUAAUACGUAGGGUGCAAGCGUUAAUCGGAAUUACUGGGCGUAAAGCGUGCGCAGGCGGUUCGGAAAGAAAGAUGUGAAAUCCCAGGGCUCAACCUUGGAACGGCAUUUUUAACUCCCGAACUAGAGUAUGUCAGAGGGGGGUAGAAUUCCACGUGUAGCAGUGAAAUG